AGUGAACGCUGGCGGCAGGCCUAACACAUGCAAGUCGAGCGACAGCGCGUCCGACCACCCUCGGGUGGUCGGAUGGCGGCGAGCGGCGGACGGGUGAGGAAUGCAUCGGAAUCUGCCUCGUUGUGGGGGAUAACGUAGGGAAACUUACGCUAAUACCGCAUACGGCCUACGGGUGAAAGUGGGGGACCUUCGGGCCUCACGCGAUGAGAUGAGCCGAUGCCGGAUUAGCUAGUUGGCGGGGUAAAGGGCCCACCAAGGCGACGAUCCGUAGCUGGUCUGAGAGGAUGAUCAGCCACACUGGAACUGAGACACGGUCCAGACUCCUACGGGAGGCAGCAGUGGGGAAUAUUGGACAAUGGGGGCGAACCCUGAUCCAGCCAUGCCGCGUGUGUGAAGAAGGCCU
rnacentral:rRNA from 1 species